GCUAAGUAGUUCAACGGUGAGAAUAUCGGCUGUGAAUGUCGACGAUUUGGGUUCGAAUCCCAACUUAGUG
rnacentral:tRNA from 1 species